UUUUCUUUUUCCUUUUCUUUUUCUUUUUUUUUCAUGUUUGAAAUUAUAUGUCUUUAAAGCUCUUUUAGUAUCCGUUCCUCACUUGAUUGACAUUGUGCAUUACGUUUUACCCCUUCUGUACCAAAAAUACAAGAAAUAAAAAUGUCACUUUCUGACCUCAUGUCAAGAGCUUGUGUAUUUCUUUUGACUUGUUCUCUUAGAAACAUUUUAGUUAGCUCAUUAGGACUAGAUACUUCCUGCUUCAAUUAAGGACACAAAAAUGUUAAUAUCCUUGCUUUAUAGCUUAGAAAUAUUCAUAGUCUGCAGCCUGAAAUGUUUUCUGAUAAGCUGAGUAUCGUAUGCGUUAAGUGCUAUAUAGGUAUUACAUGCACAACCUUGAAAUACAUCCUUAUAUAAACUCCAGUUUGCAUGAAAUGCUAAAAUCAGCAUUUUCAGUAGUGCUUUGGUCUCACACAACAUUGCUUAAAUAGUUGUAUGGGCAGCUUCAGUUGCCCAGUUUCAGUUUCACUGUUCUUGCCAGAAUACAUGUUGACUUGCAAAACAAUACAGCAACACAGAACAUCCACUUUCUGAGUCUGUUGUCCAACUGUGUGCCUGCAGUUCACCUCCUGAGGUCUUACACCGCUGACCUAUGGCCUGACAACUCAAAUUUAUUUGAAGCUUUUUUAUCUCUCUCUCUUUCAGCUGGUGCGCUCCUCAAAGAUGGAACUGAGCAUUGUGUAUGGAGGGACAAGAUGUAUCGCCUGCUCCAGCAAAAGAGCAGCAUCUCUACCAAUGAGAACAACAAAUAAAAACCAUCUACACACCAUACGAGACCAAGACACUCAAUUUUAUACUGUGUAAAAGUGUGAUGUAAUGUAUGGUAACAGUGUUUAAUGGCAGAUAGCAGUACUUAGUGGCAUAUGAACUUACCUAAAGUAGAACAGAAUUCAGUCCUGAUAAGUCCCAAGACAGGAUUUCUGUCUUAUGUGUCAUGAUGAAAGAGACUCCAUUUGUUGCAUACAAAAGAAAAGUCAUACAACAGUAGAAAAUGUUCUCAAUUCAAUUAAGAAAGUGGGUUCCGAAGCAUAAAAAAGCUGAUGACUGCAUUAUGCCCUGAGCAGGUCUCAGAUGAUUUUGGUUUUGUCCAUCAAAAUAAG
rnacentral:lncRNA from 1 species